UAAUGCAUGCGGCUAUUACAUCUGCAUCUACGAACAACGUGUAAUUGCCACGAGCAUGUAUAAUUAGUCUAAGGAUACCUUUUCAGUCGAGAGAGGGGACACUUUAAAAGACGCUUCCGGGCUGGAUCUAUGCGUAGGCACGAAUAGUAUUCGCUUUAUUACACGAUGUCCCAACGAUCGUGACGGUGUUCCAGAGGAGCUUACAGAGACGUGUCGCGUUGUUCCUCGCCGUCCGGCCAUCGAUCACCGGCCUUUGCAAGCGGUGCUUGACAGGAUGUAGCUACCUUCGGACAUGUUUGGCAGAUCUGCAGCUACACUUUUUGUUUGCAGUUAUCCAUCGUGGUACAGAGAUAGAAAUACCUGGUCUAUCUUGGGAUUGUACGCGCAUAUUAGGACAGUAGAAGAAAACUCCGUGUCAAGAAAAGUUUUAUUUUUAAAACGAUUGUAAUAAGAAACAGGAAAAUGUACGCGACAUUUGUCAUAAUACAACAACUGUAAGAUGAGAGUCUGCUUCCCUGACGCCGACAUUAGAGGAUCUUGUCAACUUUUACUUCGAGAAGAUUUAUGAUGUUCUUACACAACACGAUGGAGUAAACAUUAUAUAAUGUUAUACAGUAUGUGUAUCAACAAUUCUAAUGUUUUUUUUUAAAAAAAAGAAGUUAUUAAAGCGAACUGAAAGAAAUGAAGGAAAAAGCGAGGGAAUGGCGAGAAAGAAAUUUAGCUCUUUGUAACGUUAGCUGUUUCUCAAUUUGUUAGAUAUUUAGAGAACAUAUUACUAAAGAAAUAGUAAAAUGAAUAAACAUUAUCUUAUUUAAUAAAGUACGGAAAAUAUUAAGUACUAAAAAUUACUGGAAAUAAAGUGAUCGAAUAUGUGAAAUAUUUAGAGUAGGUCGCCUUAAUAAUUAACCAAUGUUAUCGUACUCAUUUCUUGCCACCCCUCGUGCAAAUUUAUGCAAAUAUUCAACACAGAUUUACAAGGAAUUCCAAUUGACCGGGCCGAAAUUUAAUUUUUCACACCUUCGAUCAAUUCCUCUUAACGAUAUUGCCGUCGUGUAAAGCUACUGCAAAUUAUGCGAUAAAUGCACGCGAUUAGGGUGCAUAUAUUAUGUUGUGAUACUCGCGGGCUUUCGCGAGAAAACAAGCCAAAAACCAUGGAGAAGCAUAAUUGAUUGCGACGACAGUAUCGAAAUGCGAAAUUUAGUAGUUCCCUGUGUAUUUCAUUUAUUUUAAACGCGGCCUCCGUUAUUCAGAAUUCAACGAUUAAAUCAACGUUAAAUUUGUACCGCGCACGCUCGCACUGCGUGCAUACCGGUUUCAAAAUAUAUGGCACCGCGCGGUACGCGCACCAUGAAUUAUGAUAUCGCGACGCAUUAGUUUUAAAUGAUGCUUUUCAACGUCACCGACGAAUUUAUGUAUAAGGAUAACCGGGAUCCUGUUAAAUUACCGGAUCGCCAUUCUCGUAUCAAUCAUGCGUGUAAGCCAGAACAGCCAAGUUAGUCACCGUGUGCGUGUGUUUAGACAGUGGUUACGAGUGUGUGCACGUGUUUUCAAUCAUGGUGAUGUUUUUUAACGGUGUUCGAAACAAAGAGGUAAAAUGUAAACGGACACCGUGAUUGAGGGAAUAGAGAACAGAGAAUCCAUAGAUUCUUCUUACAAGAUAUAGCAACCCCUGAUGGGAAGCUCUCGAGGAAAUCGUGAAAUUUUUUACAAAAUAUUGUACAACGCUUAUAUGAAAUUCGUUUGCACGAAGAUUAAUUUUUCAUUUCAAUUUAUCUUAUUUCGAAAGUUUCUGUAUUUAUAAACUUUAUUGAUUGAAUAUGGAAUUGGAUAAACUUUGAAAUGGAAAAUGAAAAUACGAUGUAUGGAGUGUGAGAUACAAUUUUUGAGCACUCGUUGUUAUUCAUUUCCGAAGCAUUGCACCGUGCAAUUCAAAAUAAAUUCGAGAAAUGCGAGCUUCCUAUGUUUUAUAAGUGUAUUAUUGGGAACAUUUGAUUUCCAAAGUUCGUUAAACCUUAUUUCGAGUAAAUGCAAUGUGCCAUUCAAUUCGAUUAAACGUUGACUGCGUGUACAGUUACCUGCAUCGUUCCUCGAUUAGCAAACUCAGCACAUCGUUCCUUCCUACACGAUUCUCGUGUCUGAAAAUAUGUGUGAGAAUGUGUCUCGACCUAUAUCGUAACGGCAUGACUAAUUGGUCGCAAUAACGGCGACGAUCUAUCGCCAGUGUAGGCCUAACCAAUAUUCACGAUCACGAGAUUUACGAUGAUUCGAUUUAGUGUGUAUCAAUUGCAUUCUGUCAUCGAACUGUAGGCUUCGAAGCUUACUUUGAAAUAUAGGUCUGCUGCAAAGUUAUUAAGAGUAAUAUAACAUUUCUUGUCGUGUUAUUUUAAACGAGUCCUUAUAAAUCCCGUUCUUUUUCAAAGUUAGAAAAGUACGAUAUAAUUUUCCUAAUA